AACGAACGCUGGCGGCGUGCCUAACACAUGCAAGUCGUGCGAGAAAGUUCCUUCGGGAGCGAGUAAAGCGGCGCACGGGUGAGUAACACGUAGGUAACCUGCCCCCCAGUCUGGAACAACUAGAGGAAACUCUAGCUAAUGCCGGAUGAGACCACGAUCCCUUCGGGGGUUGCGGCCAAAGGUGGCCUCUACUUGUAAGCUAUCGCUGAGGGAUGGGCCUGCGGGCCAUUAGCUUGUUGGUGAGGUAACGGCUCACCAAGGCUGUGAUGGCUAGCUGGUCUGAGAGGAUGACCAGCCACACUGGGACUGAGACACGGCCCAGACUCCUACGGGAGCAGCAUGGGGAAUAUUGCGCAAUGGGCAAAGCCUGACGCAGCGACGCCGCGUGGGUGAUGAA
rnacentral:rRNA from 1 species